rnacentral:misc_RNA from 1 species
AAGUCGUAACAAGGUUUCCGUAGGUGAACCUGCGGAAGGAUCAUUAACACUUUUUUUAACAUUUUGUCAAGUAAUACUUGGCAAUCUUACUACCCACCUUUUGGAUGAAUUUUUAUGUGGAUUGGGAAUGAAGUAAUAUUCAUUUUCCAUAUCUACAUUUUAUCUCUAUUAACUUUUUAAACCCCAAACACCAUUAUUGCUAUGCAUUGACUGAAAUUUAUUUGUGUCUUCUUUGAACACACAAAUCCAAACCAAAAAGCUAAGAAACAACUCUUAACAACGGAUAUCUUGGCUCUC